AGGGCACCACCAGGAGUGGAGCCUGCGGCUUAAUUUGACUCAACACGGGAAAACUCACCCGGCCCGGACACUGGAAGGAUUGACAGAUUGAGAGCUCUUUCUUGAUUCAGUGGGUGGUGGUGCAUGGCCGUUCUUAGUUGGUGGAGUGAUUUGUCUGGUUAAUUCCGAUAACGAACGAGACUCUAGCCUACUAAAAUAGAUCGUCGGCUUAACAAAACGCCGGCGAGACUUUCUUUAGAGGGGACAGGGCGGUGAUUCAACCCGCCACGAAACAGAAGCAAUAACAAGGUCUUGUGAUGCCCCUUAGAUGUCCGGGGCCGCACGCCGCGGCUACCCUGGAAGUGAUCGCCGUGGCUUUUUCAAACCUUACUCUGUCAGAAGUGGGGAACCCAUGGACCUUUCUUCCGUGAUUUGGAUUAGGGGAUUGUAAUUAUUCCCUUUGAACGAGGAAUUCCAGUAAGCCGAGUCUAGCUCGCGUUGAUUACGUCUGCGCUUGAAAAACCGCCGUCGUCAUCGAUG
rnacentral:rRNA from 1 species